UAUAUAGAGAGGAAGGGGGAAGAGGGGGCUGGAGAGGAAAAACGAAAGAGAGGGGACAGAUCUGGGGAACGAAAGGGCUGGGGAUCGCACAAAAACACAGAGCUAUCUUCUUCCUUUCCCAAGCACAAAAACACAAAGUUUCAACACCAUGUAAAUUCUCCAUAGCCUAUUACAUCCAUCUAUGAAAGAAGCUCCAUUGCUUCACCAUUAAACCAUCACAAAUAAGCCCCAAAAUCACCACAAAAACACCUCGUGUAAACCACUUGAAGCCAUCUUAAAUUCAAGUGAAACCUCGUUCUACAGUUCCGGCGGAAACAGAGGUGAGUGAACGACCAACUGCUGGUCAUUUUCGAGUCGAGCUGACGAGCUUUCCGUUAGCAGAUCCGAGGUGCCGAUUCGAGGAACAAAGCGGUGCAAGGAAAGUGAUUCAAAAAGAGAAAAAAAA